UACGGAGGAUCCAAGUGUUAUCCGGAAUCAUUGGGUUUAAAGGGUCCGUAGGCGGUUUAGUAAGUCAGUGGUGAAAGCCCAUCGCUCAACGGUGGAACGGCCAUUGAUACUGCUGAACUUGAAUUAUUAGGAAGUAACUAGAAUAUGUAGUGUAGCGGUGAAAUGCUUAGAGAUUACAUGGAAUACCAAUUGCGAAGGCAGGUUACUACUAAUGGAUUGACGCUGAUGGACGAAAGCGUGGGUAGCGAACAGG
rnacentral:rRNA from 1 species